rnacentral:rRNA from 1 species
ACGCUGGCGGCACGCCUAACACAUGCAAGUCGAACGAAGUAGCAAUACUUAGUGGCAGACGGGUGAGUAACAUGUGGGUAUCUGCCCUUUGGCCUGGAAUAACACGAGGAAACUUGUGCUAAUACCGGAUAAGUCUUUACGGAGAAAGCUUUAUGCACCAUUGGAUGAGCCUGCACUUGAUUAGUUUGUUGGUGGGGUAAUGGCCUACCAAGACUGUGAUCAAUAGCUGAUUUGAGAGGAUGAUCAGCCACAUUGGGACUGAGACACGGCCCAAACUCCUACGGGAGGCAGCAGUGGGGAAUCUUGCACAAUGGAGGAAACUCUGAUGCAGCGAUGCCGCGUGAGUGAAGAAGGCCUUUGGGUUGUAAAGCUCUUUCGUCGGGGAAGAAAAUGACUGUACCCGAAUAAGAAGGUCCGGCUAACUUCGUGCCAGCAGCCGCGGUAAUACGAAGGGACCUAGCGUAGUUCGGAAUUACUGGGCUUAAAGAGUUCGUAGGUGGUUGAAAAAGUUAGUGGUGAAAUCCCAGAGCUUAACUCUGGAACUGCCAUUAAAACUUUUCAGCUAGAGUAUGAUAGAGGAAAGCAGAAUUUCUAGUGUAGAGGUGAAAUUCGUAGAUAUUAGAAAGAAUACCAAUUGCGAAGGCAGCUUUCUGGAUCAUUACUGACACUGAGGAACGAAAGCAUGGGUAGCGAAGAGGAUUAGAUACCCUCGUAGUCCAUGCCGUAAACGAUGUGUGUUAGACGUUGGAAAUUUAUUUUCAGUGUCGCAGGGAAACCGAUAAACACACCGCCUGGGGAGUACGACCGCAAGGUUAAAACUCAAAUGAAUUGACGGGGACCCGCACAAGUAGUGGAGCAUGUGGUUUAAUUCGAAGAUACGCGCAGAACCUUACCAACACUUGACAUGUUCGUCGCGACUCUAAGAGAUUAGAGUUUUCGGUUCGGCCGGACGAAACACAGGUGCUGCAUGGCUGUCGUCAGCUCGUGUCGUGAGAUGUUGGGUUAAGUCCCGCAACGAGCGCAACCCUCACUUUUAGUUGCCAUCAUUAAGUUGGGCACUCUGAAAGAACUGCCAGUGAUAAGCUGGAGGAAGGUGGGGAUGACGUCAAGUCCUCAUGGCCCUUACGUGUUGGGCUACACACGUGCUACAAUGGUAUCUACAACAGGAAGCAAGACUGCGAAGUUAAGCAAAUCCCUAAAAGAUACCUCAGUUCGGAUUGCACUCUGCAACUCGAGUGCAUGAAGCUGGAAUUACUAGUAAUCGUGGAUCAGCGUGCCACGGUGAAUGCGUUCCCGGGUCUUGUACACACCGCC